GGGAAGCUCACGUGGGUGUUGGUGGGAGGCCCAGGGCAAGCCGCUGAAAGCACCAUGCGCGAGAGCUUCCUCAGCACAAUGCCACCUGUGCCGCUACCAAGUGGACCUCUUGGCACCUGCCAGGCUGGAAGUCCCAGGUGAGAGAUAACCAAGUCAGCCUGGUGGGCUGUUGAGUGGAUUACCUGGGAAUGACCCGUGGGACCCUUGACCUGUGCUCGAGCCCACAUGCAGCCACCUGGCAGCCAGUCACUUCUCAGGGGGCCCCUCCUGCUGCCUGGUCCAAGGAUGCUCAGCGUGAUUUGAGGAGUGAGGAAGAUCCAGGACAAAGCAAACCACAGGUGAAGGGGUCAGCGGGAAGCACAGGUGGACUCGCACUGUGCACCCCACACAGGACCUGUGGCAGGGCACCUGCAGCCACCCCAAAGACAAGCUCCAAGGAUUGGGAUUUUCACCUGCCUCAUAUGUCUCCUGUGACGUCUUCACGAAUUGGCAUUUUGCCCCCAAUUUACAGGUCAGGACACGCAAGUCCAGAGGGUGGGCAUGACAUGCUCAAGUUCCCCAGCCAGUGUGGAGCGGAG